ACCAGCGGCCGUAGCCGUGCGUGUCUACCGGUUCCCGUUCGAUCACCGAAGUAAAGAUGCACUGGGCGGCGUUCCGUAAGAAGAUGGGUGACCGCUCCACAAUCCGUCUCUGGAAAAACCGUGCUGCUGGUU
rfam:Habropoda laboriosa contig16984, whole genome shotgun sequence.